UAGGCAUUAGUUCCAAUUCAGGUCAAGGGC
rnacentral:piRNA from 1 species